rnacentral:lncRNA from 1 species
AUGAGUCACUCAAGGUGUCGUUUUUGCCAAACUAGCAUACACCCAAGAGAUGGGCAUCGCGAAUGUCCCUCCUGUUUGGGUAUGCAACAUGUACUAGAUGAUAUUGAGGAUCCCUGUGCAGCUGCGUUGGAGCUAUCUUUGCGGGAAAGAGUGCAAAGAGCUAAACUGUUAACUGGUGGUAAUAAAGAAAUUAUUCCCAGUAGUUCCUCUCAUAAACGUAAGAGGCCAGAUGCAGGUCCUGACAUGCCUCCAGAUAAAAUAAAGAAAGCCACAGUAGUCCGAGAUCCCAAGGAUGACACUCAGUUGCAAAUCUUAGCAGCAUUGCGUGACUUAGCUGGUAAGCUUGAAACACGUAAUUCUUCAGUAAACACACAGCCAUCUGCACUCCGGGCUGGGGAUGAGUUGAUAUCACGUCAGAAAGAGAGGGAUGAUUAUACGGAUGCCGUCUCACUGCAUGCAAAUAACUCCCUUUAUGGUAGUGAGGAGAAUGCAGAUGAAAACGAGGGAGAGGAAUCCAGGUCUGAGGUUUCAGAAGGAAGCCUGCAUUCUGAUGUUCUUUUGCGCAUUUUAAGUGCAGCUAGGAUCCUGGGCCUUAAUGCACAGGAAGAAGCUACAGCUCCAGCCCCCACACAAGGUGUAUGGGCGAGUAUUUCCCCUGCACAGCCUACUGUGUCAGUCCCUGUAGCUGAGGAUUAUUCCCAGAUGUUGAGGAAAGCCUGGAAUAAUCCAAAAGCGGCACCCCAGUUUAAUGCAGGAUGUAGACGGUUUGUUAAAUUGGAUUAUCCCGCUGAGAGUGGUAUGGGGAACAUGCCAUCAGUGGAGCGAGAGAUCGCAGCCUUAACCGCUUUGGGACCUGAUAAGGUUACUGACAAUCCUCGUUGUCCCGGUAAGGAGUGCAAAAAGACAGACCGGUUAAUGAGCCAGGCAUAUAAUGCAGCUACUCGGGCAGCCCGUUCAGGAAAUGCUCUAGCAAUAGUUUUGGCUGCGUUAAGAAAGGUUGUUAAUAAGGAAGAGCGUGAUGUGAUGAGCUUGAUUGACACAGCACUCAUCACACACUCACAGCUUACCAGGGACAUAGGGGCAUCUAUGUCGUCUGCAAUUUUAGCCAGAAGACAAAUCUGGUUGGCUCAAACAUCUUUACCUGACGCAAUCAGGAAGGAUUUGACUAAUAUGCCAGUGGUU